GCCAACUCUAGAGGAACACACUGAUGACAUCACUGAUGCAGACAGCCAUGCUUUAGAUGAUGACGAUGACAGUGAUUCCCAUGGUGAUGAAGUCGGGGUUGAAGAUGCCACGGAUGCUGCUUCUCAAACACACGACAAACCAGAUCAUCUUGAUGACACAACACAAGGAUCAGAUGAUGGCAGCAAAACCCCCAUGCCAAGCUCCUAGCAACCAGGACUCUGCAAAGACAUUGUAACAGAAUUUUCCUGGAGAGACGUAAAAAGAAUCAACUGAGACAGUCAUGAUAACCAGAGUUUCACGUCCCAUUAAAACACAUUGACACGUC